rnacentral:rRNA from 1 species
AGUGAACGCUGGCGGUAGGCCUAACACAUGCAAGUCGAACGGCAGCACAGUAAGAGCUUGCUCUUACGGGUGGCGAGUGGCGGACGGGUGAGGAAUACAUCGGAAUCUACUUUUUCGUGGGGGAUAACGUAGGGAAACUUUCGCUAAUACCGCAUACGACCUACGGGUGAAAGCAGGGGAUCUUUGGACCUUGCGCGAUUGAAUGAGCCGAUGUCGGAUUAGCUAGUUGGCGGGGUAAAGGCCCACCAAGGCGACGAUCCGUAGCUGGUCUGAGAGGAUGAUCAGCCACACUGGAACUGAGACACGGUCCAGACUCCUACGGGAGGCAGCAGUGGGGAAUAUUGGACAAUGGGCGCAAGCCUGAUCCAGCCAUACCGCGUGGGUGAAGAAGGCCUUCGGGUUGUAAAGCCCUUUUGUUGGGAAAGAAAAGCAGCAGGUUAAUACCCCGCUGUUCUGACGGUACCCAAAGAAUAAGCACCGGCUAACUUCGUG